UACGGGGGGGGGCAAGCGUUGUUCGGAAUUACUGGGCGUAAAGGGUGCGUAGGCGGCUUUUUAAGUUUGGUGUGAAAUCUCCUGGCUCAACUGGGAGGGUGCGCCGAAUACUGAGAAGCUAGAGUGUGGGAGAGGAAAGUGGAAUUCCUGGCGUAGCGGUGAAAUGCGUAGAUAUCAGGAGGAACACCGGUGGUGUAAACGGCUUUCUGGACCAUAACUGACGCUGAGGCACGAAAGCGUGGGUAGCAAACAGG
rnacentral:rRNA from 1 species